AUAUUUUAUUGACAACUUGUUAUUUAACGCGUGACGAAAAUUCCUAACCGUGCUGUAAAUACGUGAGUCAGUUAUACAUAGGUAUAUGAGUAAAAUCGAUAUGAAAACUUAUGUGGAUACAAAUCCGAGACUUGUCGAUUAAAUGCGAGCUUAUUAACCACCGGGUUGCCACUGCUUAAUUGAUAAUGGUUUCAGACGAUGUCGGAUCCUAUGACAGACAAGCUAUCAAAUAGGUAAAAUUUCUGAGGCGAUGGGACGUAUUAAUUCGCUUUGUUGUUGAUAAUAUAUUUUAGAGGGCUCAAUAAUUGCUUAAAUGUACUCAUUAGUUCGACAAAGAUUCAUUCGUUCUAUCAAAAUAAGUAAUUAACGGAAACAUGAUGACCAAUCAUUGAAUUAUUGCCAAUUAAAAACAUUAUAAUUUGCGCCAUACUAAGUGACACCAACCUAAUCAGUUUGUUUUCAAGCGGUCAUGUUUUGGCGACAUACGAGUAUCAUCACACUAUGGCUGCACCAAAUGAUUCACAGUUACAAGUUCCCUGACCCGAUAAAAUGGAACAAAUGCGACAUGUGUGUAUGCGGGAGUGAUGGCAACACUUACAUAGACGACUGGCAUCUACUCAUUGCCCGGUUAACUAACCCAUACUUGACACAAUCUCACUUUGGACCCUGUUGGAGCCCGUCACAAGAAAACCAGAACCAUUACAUCGUAGAAAGAUCAUAUGGGAUACCAGAAGAUGCACCAUUGCAAAUUCUUUACACAUCGUCGCUCGAAGACCUAGAUCUGACUACUUUUGUAAUGAAAAAAACUGAAACGGAUAAGAAGGUGAAUCAAUUACAGCAAACGAUUGAUGAAAACAAAUCACGGAUGUUGAAAAGACUGCAUAAGCAUAGGAGAAAAAUAAGAAAACCUUAUAUGCCCGCAUAUUAUUUUAAAAUUCCAUACAAUUAUUAUUAUUAUGAUAGCUGAUCUUUGUAUAGAAAAUUCUGAUGUCUACAUGUAUAUAUAUAAUACUUAACAUAUACAUUAUAUAACUAGUUUUUGCCCACAACUUCGUAUGUGAGUAAAAAUCCCCGUGGGAAUUUCAGAAAAUCCCAUCUUAGUGCUCCUCUACUGUCCUAGGAAUCUACACACCAAAUUUCAGCUUUCUACGCCCAGUAGUUUCGACUGUGCGUUGUCUGUCAGUCAGUCACUCGGUAAUGCAAGCGUUUUAUAUAUACAUAUUAGUGUGAGACUUUUAAUCACAUAUAAAUAACAGUAUGGGUGUACUUGUUUCGAAUUAAAAACGUGAUCAUAAAUUUCA